UACGAAGGGGGCUAGCGUUGCUCGGAAUCACUGGGCGUAAAGGGCGCGUAGGCGGGGAGGUAAGUCGGGUGUGAAAUCCCUCGGCUUAACCGGGGAACUGCGUCUGAUACUGGAUGGCUUGAGUUCGGGAGAGGGAUGCGGAAUUCCAGGUGUAGCGGUGAAAUGCGUAGAUAUCAGGAGGAACACCUGCGGUGUAGACGGCUUACUGGACCAUCACUGACGCUGAGGCACGAAAGCGUGGGUAGCAAACAGG
rnacentral:rRNA from 1 species